rnacentral:lncRNA from 1 species
UCAAUCAUAGUGCGCAGGGGGGGUCAGGGAAUCCACGUGGCCCUUCCACAAUUCAGUUUUCACACCAACAGCUGUGGUGGUGCAGCUGCAGCCGGUAACAUUGUCUUCAUGUUAGUUCUCCCUCCUCCGUCGGAAGACUUGUGCAAGCUGUGGAACUCCAGUGUGUGCCUCUUUCUGUGUGUGCCUAUCUAUAAAGCCGUGUGGCCCUGGCAGUGUGUGUGUCUAUCGAGGUGUCACUGCUAGUAGCCCUGGCAGUAUGUGUGACUAUUGAGGUGUCACGGUGAAUGGCCCUGGCAGUGUGUGUGUCUAUCGAGGUGUCACUGCUAGUGGCCCUGUCAGUAUGUGUGACUAUUGAGGUGUCACGGUGAAUGGCCCGGGCAGUGUGUGUGUCUAUCGAGGUGUCACGGUCAGUAGCCCGGGCAGUGUGUGUAUUAAUUCUGGUAUCACGCCGUGUGGCCCGGGCAGUGUGUUUAUUGUGGUGUCAUGGCAAGUGGCCCUGGAAGUGAGUGUAUCAAGGUGUCACACUUUGUGUUCCUGGCAGUGUGUGUUACUAUGGAGGUAUCACACAGUGUGUGUAUCUAUGGAGGUUUCACACAGUGUGUGUUACUAUGGAGGUGUCACACAGUGUGUCCCUGGCAGUGUGUGUGUAUUUAUCGAGGUGUCUGGCAGUGUUUUUUUUUCUAUUGAGGUGUCACACAGUGUGUCCCUGGCAGUGUGUGUGUAUCUAUGGAGGUGUCACACUUUGUGUCGCUGGCAGUGUGUGUCUAUCGAGGUGUCACACAGUGUGUGUGUGUGUAUCUAAAAAGGUAUCACACUUUGUGUCGCUGGCAAUAUGUGUGUCUAUCAAGGUGUCACAUAGUGUGUGUGCAUCUAUGGAGGUGUCACACAGUGAGUCCCUGGCAGUGUGUGUGUAUCUAUCGAGGUGUCUGGCAGUGUGUGUGUGUGUGUAUCUAUCGAGGUGUCUGGCAGUGUGUGUGUGUGUGUAUCUAUCGAGGUGUCUGGCAGUGUGUGUGUGUGUGUACCUAGAUGGGCAUCACACAGAAGCUUGUCCUGAAACGAGUGAGUGAGUCAGUGUGUGUUUAAGUUUGUAAAUGAGUGAAUGCACUAGUGUAUGUCUAUGAGUGCAUGCAUAAAGCAGUGUGUGUCUGUCUCUGUGAAUGUGUCUGUCUGUGUAUGUAUGUGUGUGCUUGAAUCUCCCCUCCUUUCCUGUCACUGUCUGUAGCAACACUCCCCCAUUCUGAGUCCCUUGCUCUCUGACAGUCUCGUCUGUGUCUGUCUGUCUGUCUACUUCCCUGAGCCUGCACAUUUGCCUGGGUCUAAUCGUGCACAAGGCUGUGUGUCGUCCUCAUUGUUCAUUCUGUGUUGGGUCUUUGUCUCGUGUUCUUUGUGUGUCUGUCCGUCCGUCUGUCUGUCUCUCCCUCAGCCUUCCUGAGCGUCUGGCUCUCUGGAUUUCACUCUGUCUCUUUCUUUGCCUUUCUGUCUGUCUCCCUCAGCAUCAUGGAUUCAGAAAUUCGACACCAGGCCCUCUCCCCCACCACCUCACUGCAGUUCAUCCCCUCCUUCUCCUCCCAUCUCCCUCUACAAGGAGAGAAAGCAUCAUACAAAAACAGUGUGUGAGAGCUCCACCAGCAGGAAGCUUUGCAAACUGCCGCAAGCAAGGACCCUAGG